CCAACCUUGCACGCCCGUGGCGGGGAAAGCCGGUCGAACUCCGGCGCUGACCCGCAACCGUAGGCCCCUUCGUGGGGCGAGCCGGAACGCCUGCCACGACGCGUCCUGAUCAC
rnacentral:misc_RNA from 1 species